AGCAGUUCAGCCGGCUAUCAUAAGGCAGAGAACGAGCUAUUAGGUUCUUUUCAAAGACUAUUCUAAGUUUUUUUGUUACAACUGCUGUAACCAGAUUCUAAAUUAGUAAACGUAACAGAAAACUGACAUGAACCUUGAAUUCAUAUUUCUUGGCAGCAUUGUGCUUGCAACCAUUUUUGUAUUCCUGAAGAUUUUACUAGAGGAUACUUUGCCAUAAAGAUAACAGACAUUGCUGGAGAAUACCGCUGAAGUUCUCUAGAUAACACUAUAUGAAUGGCCACCAAAGUUAACAUCUCGUAUAGCUGUAAGGACAACACCUUCUAUGUAAAACAAGAACGAUGCUGUGACUCUUCUGGUGAACAAUUUCAAUCAUAUUAUGGUGACUACAUCCCAUAUUCAAUACCCAUGUUCAGGCAAAUUGUAGUUCAUCUGGACAUCGUAGAAUGAUUACUGGCUCGAAUAAAGAAAAAUAAAAUCCUA
rnacentral:sRNA from 1 species